rnacentral:miRNA from 1 species
GGAUAUCAUACUAUACUGUAAA